AACUGGCAUCCCUUCCUGACCAUCCCAACCCAGCCUCAAGGAAAUUCACUUCAGAAAUGAAGGAUGCAACCGAGUACGCCAAGCAGCAUGCAGAGUUUAGCAACGUAGUGUGAAAUACGGUGCCUGGUGUGCAGCAAAUGCUCACAGCUAUCGAAGCUCUCCCUUCCACAGGAAGUCGGCAUACCCGUCUGUACCCACCUUGUCCCAUUAUUUAAUCUUAACUUCAAAUAUGAAUUAAGGAGCCUUCAUACCUAUUCUGCUCAUCACUGUGGACUGGCCCACCACGGCUGGAGAAUCAGAGGUGGCUACUCUUAUCCAGCUACUCAUGCAUUCUGAAGCCUGGC